rnacentral:rRNA from 1 species
UAGGGAAUCUUCCACAAUGGGCGGCAAGCCUGAUGGAGCAACACCGCGUGAGUGAAGAAGGGUUUCGGCUCGUAAAACUCUGUUGUUGGAGAAGAACGUGCGUAAGAGUAACUGUUUACGCAGUGACGGUAUCCAACUAGAAAGUCACGGCUAACUACGUGCUAG